GACGAACGCUGGCGGCGUGCUUAACACAUGCAAGUCGAACGGAAAGGCCCUGCUUUUGUGGGGUGCUCGAGUGGCGAACGGGUGAGUAACACGUGAGUAACCUGCCCUUGACUUUGGGAUAACUUCAGGAAACUGGGGCUAAUACCGGAUAGGAGCUCCUGCUGCAUGGUGGGGGUUGGAAAGUUUGGGCGGUUGGGGAUGGACUCGCGGCUUAUCAGCUUGUUGGUGGGGUAGUGGCUUACCAAGGCUUUGACGGGUAGCCGGCCUGAGAGGGUGACCGGCCACAUUGGGACUGAGAUACGGCCCAGACUCCUACGGGAGGCAGCAGUGGGGAAUAUUGCACAAUGGGCGCAAGCCUGAUGCAGCAACGCCGCGUGCGGGAUGACGGCCUUCGGGUUGUAAACCGCUUUCGCCUGUGCCGAAGCGUGAGUGACGGUAACGGGUAAAGAAGCACCGGCUAACUACGUG
rnacentral:rRNA from 1 species